CCUCUGGCAGCACGCCCCAUACCUGCACCACCCUCUGUGUGAAGAAGUGGUCCCUUUUAAACUAGAGAGUAAACCAGCAAGUAUUAUAAAACUCUGUGGUACACCUGUUUCUUUAAGUGUAUGAGAAAGGAGGGGGGAAAAGGGCCAAAGUGAUCAUAGGUUCCAUAGAAAGUGAGGCUGGGGAGCCAGGAAAUUGUAGAGGAGCUGAGUAUUUCACAUCCGUCUUCACAAUAGAUUAAUAGGAUUCUGAAAAUGCCAAGCACAGAAGCAAAAAGUGGGAAGGAAGUAAAGGGCGAAUGAGAAUAAAGGAUACAGGCAGAAAGCAGGAGCAGGGUCCAGCCAUGGUCAUAUCGAAUGGUGCAGCAGGCUUGAUAGGUUGAAUGGCCUCCUUCUGCUCCUACUUACUAUAACUAUCACCAGAAAAAAAUUAAUAGGAACUCAUGGGGCUAAAAGGUGUGAUGGGUUGCAUCCUAGGGUAUUAAAGCAAAUAGAUAAAGAGAUAGUGGAAGCAUUGGUGAUAAUUUUCCAAGUGUCUUUAGACUCUGGGGGGAAAAAAUAAAUCCUAGAUGAUUAGGAAAACAUUGAAAAUAACACUGUUAUUCAAAAAGGGAAGGAGACAAAAAAAAAUACACUUAACCAUAUGCCAGUUAGCUUAAUACCUGAAAUUGGGAAAAUAUUGGAGAGUCUAUGAAAGGAUGUAAUAUCGGUGCAUUUUGAAAUACGUAAUCAAGCAGAGUCAUCAUUCCUGCCAAAUUUAUUCAAAUUCUUUGAGGAGGUAACAAGCAGGUCAAAUGAAGGGGACCGUGGAAUUGUAAUGUAUUUGGAUUUCCAGAAGACGUUUGAUAAGGCUACUUAAAAAUAUAAAAACCCAGGGUUUUCUGGAUAAUAUAUUGGCAAGGAUAGAAGAUUGGUAAUUAUUAGAAGAUUUGAAUAAGGAUAGCAUUUUCAAGAUGGCAACCUGUAACUAUAAUGGAGUGCCACAGGGAUCAGUGCUGGGGCCACAGUUACUUAGUAUAUAUAAUAGUGAAUUGGAUGAGGUAAGUGAAUGUACAAGAAUUUACAACACACACAUUUUUAGUCAGUAAGGGAGUCGGGGAAUGUAGAGAAAAGUCAGGAAAGUGGGGUUGAGGGUUAUCAGCCAUGAUCUCAUUGAACGACAGGGCAGACUCGAUGGAACGAAUGGUCUAUUUUCUGCUCUUACAUCUUAUCGUCUUAACUCUAGCAGCAACAGAUUGAUCAUCUGGUCUUGUCAGAAUGGCUUUUGCUAUGUAAAUUCAAUACUAUGCAAUAGUAUUACCUUAGCUGAUUUAAUUUAGUUUAAAAUAUUUUUGCAGAGUGGAAAGUGUUGGUGAAUUUCAGAUACAGGUCAGAAACAAACAUUUAAGUUGUUUGUUAAAAUAAUUGAGAAAGAAGGCAGUUCUAUUGACCUCUACUCCCGUCUUUUUAAUUGAUAGUGUGACAACUGUGGCACAGAACCAAUUCUUGGAUUACGUUGGCAUUGUCAGGACUGCCCACCAGAGAGUUCGGUUGAUUUCUGCGACAGUUGUUCAGACUGCCUGUAUGAAACGGAGACUCACAAAGCUGACCACCAACUGGACCCUGUCUAUAAGGCUGAGACAUUUCUGGACAGAGAUUACUGCAUGUCUCAGGACACCAGUUACAACUACCUUGAUCCGAACUACUUCCCAGCAAACAGAUGACACAAAGGGCAAAGUUGGGGAGGAAGAAAGAAACAGACUCCCGGAGGGAGUUGACUCUCUGUUCUUCAGUGCAUUGCAAAGUCAGGCUUCAUUCGUUGAUUCCUUGCACAGAUCGAAAGCGUCCUGCUGCUGUUCCAAAAAAACAAAGUCAGUGUCCGCAGGUGAGCUUCAGUGGGUCCCCUCAUUGACUAUGACCCUGAGCUGCCCGUGGCCCUUUACAAGUCAUUCAACAGCAGGUGAACAUUCCUAACGUACAGUGGGUUUCCUUGAGUUGCCUUCCACGCACUCUCCUCUGUUUGUCUGUCUCAUGCUCUCUCUUGCUCAAAGUUCUGUUCACAUCUGUUGAUGGAAAUGGAGGAGGAAGGGAAGGCAAAGCAGUUGCAAACUGCACAGGCCCAAUUAUUUAAUUCCAAAGGCAAGAUCAGUUUCUAUGACAAAAACUGAACUCUUAACCAUAAUAUGAUGUAGAUAAAUGUCUGUGUAGGCGAGUAUUUAUGGAACCACGAUACGUUAAAGUUUCCUAUUAUGUUGUGUAGUGUGUAGUCCUAGUGCCACGAAAGGGAGCUACCUUUUGUUGUUGGAAUGAAAGUUCUAGGUUUUACACAAGAGAAAGUUGAAUUUAACAAACUAGUAAAAUUGACUGUAGCGAUGCAGGUUAAGAUCCUGAGCAUUGAACUUGCCUAACACAAUCAGCUGCUUACUCCCAAAAGGCCUCAUGCCUUCUCAGCCCUUCCCCCGAGCAACCGCGAAGCACUACGUGAGGCAAAGAAUGCCAGGGCAAUAAUGAAGAAAUGUGGAUGUGUUGUCCCUUCACACCCAAUGUCACGUCUCUUCCAACCAGCCUCCGCCUUCUCUCCUGCCCAACAAAACAAAACUGCACGGAAGAAGUUUGAAUACAAGUGAGUCGUCAGUGAAAGUGUUUUUAGAUGUAAUGUGAUAUAAAACGACUAUGUAAUGUGUACUAAAAUAUGGUGAAAAAAGUACAGUGGUAGCAACAGUGUACAUCACUUUAUAUAAACACACCUCCACCAACUUCAGAAUCAAAUAGACCCCUCCCUCUCACUACCCCUUCGAAAUGGGAAUUGUCCCCACAACUCAUUAACAAAACUGCCUGUUAAAGAUAAUCAAGUAUUAUAAUAAAUUCCCUUUUUUGUAGUCUGCACAAAAGCUCCAAUUGCUGAAAGAUUGUAUUUUUACGAUGUAUUUAAAUGAUUGAUUGAUACUAGUCAGCGGUGAGCACUGGGUUCAGCUGCAAACUUUUAUACUAGUAGUUGUGCAUUGAUUAGAACAUUUUUGUAUGGUUUCAGUUUCUGGCCUCAUAUCUGUGUGUAUGCAAUAUGUUCUUAUACAGAUCUGUACAACUGUCAGGAGAGCUGUGAGAAAUAAAAAAAACAUGUGAAACUAG